CUACGGGUUGCUGCAGUGGGGAAUAUUGCACAAUGGGCGCAAGCCUGAUGCAGCCAUGCCGCGUGUAUGAAGAAGGCCUUCGGGUUGUAAAGUACUUUCAGCGGGGAGGAAGGGAGUAAAGUUAAUACCUUUGCUCAUUGACGUUACCCGCAGAAGAAGCACCGGCUAUACUCCGUGCCAGCAGCCGCGGUAAUACGGAGGGUGCAAGCGUUAAUCGGAAUUACUUGGCGUAAAGCGCACGCAGGCGGUUUGUUAAGUCAGAUGUGAAAUCCCCGGGCUCAACCUGGGAACUGCAUCUGAUACUGGCAAGCUUGAGUCUCGUAGAGGGGGGUAGAAUUCCAGGUGUAGCGGUGAAAUGCGUAGAGAUCUGGAGGAAUACCGGUGGCGAAGGCGGCCCCCUGGACGAAGACUGACGCUCAGGUGCGAAAGCGUGGGGAGCAAACAGGAUUAGAUACCCCGGUAGUC
rnacentral:rRNA from 1 species